GACGAACGCUGGCGGCGUGCUUAACACAUGCAAGUCGAGCGGAAAGGCCACUUCGGUGGUACUCGAGCGGCGAACGGGUGAGUAACACGUGAGUAAUCUGCCCCUGGCUUUGGGAUAGCCACCGGAAACGGUGAUUAAUACCGGAUAUGACCACGUCUCGCAUGGGGUGUGGUGGAAAGUUUUUCGGCCAGGGAUGUGCUCGCGGCCUAUCAGCUUGAUGGUGAGGUAAUGGCUCACCAUGGCUUCGACGGGUAGCCGGCCUGAGAGGGUGACCGGUCACAAUGGGACUGAGACACGGCCCAGACUCCUACGGGAGGCAGCAGUGGGGAAUAUUGCACAAUGGGCGCAAGCCUGAUGCAGCAACGCCGCGUGCGGGAUGACGGCCUUCGGGUUGUAAACCGCUUUUAGUAGGGAAGAAGCCUUCGGGUGACGGUACCUGCAGAAAAAGGACCGGCUAACUACGUGCCAGCAGCCGCCGUAAAAC
rnacentral:rRNA from 1 species